rnacentral:rRNA from 1 species
GACGAACGCUGGCGGCGUGCUUAACACAUGCAAGUCGAACGGAAAGGCCCUGCUUUUGUGGGGGGCUCGAAUGGCGAAGGUGGGAGUAACACGUGAGUAACCUGCCCUUGACUUUAGGAUAACUUCAGGAAACUGGGGCUAAUACCGGAUAGGAUCUCCUGCUGCAUGGUUGGGUUUGGAAAGUUUCGGCGGAUGGGGAUGGUCUCGGGGCUUAUCACCUUGUGGGUGGGGUAGUGGCUUACCAAGGCUUUGACGGGUAGCCGGCCUGGGAGGGUGACCGGCCACCUUGGGACUGAGAUACGGCCCAGACUCCUACGGGCGGCAGCAGUGGGAAAUAUUGCACAAUGGGCGGAAGCGUGAUGAAGCAACGCCGCGUGUGGGAUGACGGCCUUCGGGUUGUAAGCCGCUUUCGCCUGUAACGAAGAGUGAGUGACGGUAAUGGGUAAAGAAGCCCCGGCUAACUACGUG